rnacentral:rRNA from 1 species
AACGAACGCUGGCGGCAGGCUUAACACAUGCAAGUCGAGCGAAGACUUCGGUCUUAGCGGCGGACGGGUGAGUAACGCGUGGGAACAUACCCUUUGCUACGGAACAGUCCCGGGAAACUGGGUUUAAUACCGUAUACGCCCUUCGGGGGAAAGAUUUAUCGGCAAAGGAUUGGCCCGCGUUGGAUUAGGUAGUUGGUGGGGUAACGGCCCACCAAGCCGACGAUCGGUAGCUGGUUUGAGAGGAUGAUCAGCAACACUGGGACUGAGACACGGCCCAGACUCCUACGGGAGGCAGCAGUGGGGAAUCUUAGACAAUGGGGGCAACCCUGAUCUAGCCAUGCCGCGUGGGUGAUGAAGGCCUUAGGGUCGUAAAGCCCUUUCGCCGGGGAAGAUAAUGACGGUACCCGGUAAAGAAACCCCGGCUAACUCCGUGCCAGCCGCCGCCGU